rnacentral:rRNA from 1 species
UGGGGAAUAUUGGACAAUGGGCGAAAGCCUGAUCCAGCCAUGCCGCGUGUGUGAAGAAGGUCUUCGGAUUGUAAAGCACUUUAAGUUGGGAGGAAGGGCAUUAACCUAAUACGUUAGUGUUUUGACGUUACCGACAGAAUAAGCACCGGCUAACUCUGUGCCAGCAGCCGCGGUAAUACAGAAGGUGCAAGCGUUAAUCGGAAUUACUGGGCGUAAAGCGCGCGUAGGUGGUUUGUUAAGUUGGAUGUGAAAGCCCCGGGCUCAACCUGGGAACUGCAUCCAAAACUGGCAAGCUAGAGUACGGUAGAGGGUGGUGGAAUUUCCUGUGUAGCGGUGAAAUGCGUAGAUAUAGGAAGGAACACCAGUGGCGAAGGCGACCACCUGGACUGAUACUGACACUGAGGUGCGAAAGCGUGGGGAGCAAACA